AGUGACCCAGAAACCCAACAAGAUGGCCCCAAAACCCAACGAGGUGACCCCAAAAGUCAACAAGGUGACCCGAAAACCCGAGGCGACCCCAAAACCCCAAUGAGAACCCAAAAACUUAAGAUGACCCCAAAAGUCAACAAAGUGACCCAAAACCCAACAAGGUGACACCAAACCCCAGUGAGACCCGAAAACUCAACUAAGUGACCCAAAACCCAAUAAUCUGACCCCAAAAACCAUUGAGAACCCAAAACCAAACAAGAUGACCAAAAACCCAACCAGAUGGCCCCAAAAGUCAACAAGAUGACCCCAAAACCCCAAUGAGAACUCAAAACUUAAGAAGAUGACCCCAAAACCCAACAAGGGGACCCCAAAACCCAACAAGGUGACCCCAAAACUCAACAAAGUGACCCAAAACCCAACAAGGUGACACCAAACCCCAGUGAGACCCGAAAACUCAACCAAGUGACCCAAAACCCAAUAAUCUGACCCCAAAAACCAUUGAGAACCCAAAACCAAACAAGGUGACCAAAAACCCAACGAGAUGGCCCCAAAAGUCAACAAGGUGACCCCAAAACUCGAAAAGAUGACCCCAAAACCCCAAUGAAAACCCAGAAGUUAAGAAGAUGACCUCAAAACCCAAUAAGGUGACCCCAAAAACCAUUGAGAACCCAAAACCCAACAAGAUGACCAAAAACCCAACCAGAUGGCCCCAAAACCCAACAAGAUGGCCCCAAAAGUCAACAAAGUGACCCAAAAAAUCAAAAAGAUGGCCCCAAAACCCCAAUGAGAACCCAAAAUUUAAGAAGAUGACCCCAAAAUCCAAUAAGGUGACCCCAAAACCCAACAAGGUGACCCCAAAACUCAACCAAGUGACCCAAAACCCAACAAGGUGACCCCAAAACCACAAAGAUUAUCCCCAAAACCUCAAAGGUCAACCUCGAGCUUCCCCAAGAACACCAAAACCCUAAAAAUUCUACCCAAAAAGCCCCCAAAUGACCCCAAAGUAUCGAGAUACCCCAACAUGGCCCCAAAAUGACCCCAAAAUAUCAAGAUUCUCCCCAAAAAAGAUGCAAAAUGACCCCAAAAUCUCCCGAAAUCCCCCCCAAAUCCCUCCAUCCUUGACCCUUUUUUCCCAUUUUUUUGCCCCAAAACCAGGUCGGGGUGAAGGGGAACCCUCAAGGCUUCAACCGCGGCCUGGACUGCGACGUCAUCGUGGCCGAGGUCCGCUCCACCAGCCACAAACCCGACGAAAUCUACGGCAUGAUCGAGCGCCUCUCGCCCGGCACCCGCAAGAUCGAACUCUUCGGCCGGCCCCACAACGUCCAACCCAAUUGGAUCACCUUGGGGAACCAACUGGACGGGAUCCACCUGCUGGACCCGGACGUGGUGGCUCAGUUCAAGCAGCACUACCCCGACGGGAUCAUCUCCAAACCCAAAAACGUGUAAUUUCCGCGGCGCCGUUUUGGGGCGCUUUGGGACAAAAUGAUCAUUUUGCCCUUCCCCUCCCUCCCCUUUCACCCGAAGAGCCAAAAAUAGACAUUUUCGGCGCGCGUUUUGGGGCGAAACCGGCGGAAAAAAACGCACCCGCAAAAAGGGACACAAAACCUCUUGGCUCUUUUUUUUUCUUUCUUUUUUUUUUUUUUUUAAUAGAAAUCGCCCAAAUUUGCCCCAAAAAUGGAAAUGGGGGAAGAGGAGGGGAGGGGGGGAAGGGCGUGGGGUGAAUUUUUGGGGUGAAUUUUGGGGUGAAUUCAGUGUUAUUUGACGAAAACCACGUUGUUGCUGGCGUUGCGGGCGGCCAACCAGGCCAGGAAGACGUCCCUGCAAGAAAUUUUGGGGUAAA
ensembl:lncRNA